rnacentral:rRNA from 1 species
AUUGAACGCUGGCGGCAGGCUUAACACAUGUAAGUCGAGCGGGGUGAUGGUGCUUGCACUAUCACUUAGCGGCGGACGGGUGAGUAAUGCUUAGGAAUCUGCCUAUUAGCGGGGGACAACAUCUCGAAAGGGAUGCUAAUACCGCAUACGUCCUACGGGAGAAAGCAGGGGAUCACUUGUGACCUUGCGCUAAUAGAUGAGCCUAAGUCGGAUUAGCUAGUUGGUGGGGUAAAGGCCUACCAAGGCGUCGAUCUGUAGCGGGUCUGAGAGGAUGAUCGGCCACACUGGGACUGAGUCACAGCCCAGACUCCUACGGGAGGCAGCAGUGGGGAAUAUUGGACAAUGGGGGGAACCCUGAUCCAGCCAUGCCGCGUGUGUGAAGAAGGCCUUAUGGUUGUAAAGCACUUUAAGCGAGGAGGAGGCUCUUUUGGUUAAUACCCAAGAUGAGUGGACGUUACUCGCAGAAUAAGCACCGGCUAACUCUGUGCCAGCCGCCGCAGUAA